AGGAAAAGAGGUUGAUAUGAACCCAGAAGUCAAUGUUCAGGAAGUGGCUGAAGAUGAUAAAGAUGAUGGUGUAACAAUUAUUGAUCAGGUCUCCUUCUGGCUGCGCUGGACCUGCGCACGCGGGGGACUUCCGCAUCGGGCCCUCCAGCCUCCCGCAGCGUCCCGCAGCGCCCUGGCGGGCAGCAGCCUGGGUGGUAGCGGCGCGCUUGGUGCUCGGCGCCAGCACCUGCUACUGCCAUCUACAGGCUGAGGCGGGGCCCGCGGCGAGGCGGCCGGGGGCAUCGGCUGAGCCCCUCUGGAUCUGCAGGCUCUGUUACUGUCAAGGUCCCAUCUUCUCCUCAAACCUAUUUACAGUUAUCAGGAAAAGAGGUUGAUAUGAACCCAGAAGUCAAUGUUCAGGAAGUGGCUGAAGAUGAUAAAGAUGAUGGUGUAACAAUUAUUGAUCAGGUCUCCUUCUGGCUGCGCUGGACCUGCGCACGCGGGGGACUUCCGCAUCGGGCCCUCCAGCCUCCCGCAGCGUCCCGCAGCGCCCUGGCGGGCAGCAGCCUGGGUGGUAGCGGCGCGCUUGGUGCUCGGCGCCAGCACCUGCUACUGCCAUCUACAGGCUGA